AUGUGGGACGGACGGGCAGGCAAAGUGACUGGAGCAGACAGUGAAAUGUACUCAGGAAGAGGAGGAAUUCAACUAGCUGUCAUCAAUUGUACUGUGGGAGGCAGGCUCCACUGCCCUGUAAAAAUGUUUGCCACACACUCCUCCAGGAGGAAACAAGUUGGAGGCAUCUGCUUUCAAGAUCAACAAUUGGCUUGGGAAAGAAGAAGAAGAAAAGAAGAAAAAAAAAAAAAAAAGCAGUUUGAGCUGAAUUACUGGCACUACUGUUUUCACCUCUCCACAGCCUAGCUAUGACUUGCAGAGCAUCCUGAGUUAAGAGUUUAUAAUUCCAGCUGAACUUAAUGGGAUUAUUUACACAAGAAUUAUGUUGCAAUAGCUAAUAGGCCUGCUUGUGGACAAGUCUGUUUUGCUGUGUCUGUACUGAUUUUGAUCCAAAGAACUUUGCCACUGCUGCAGUUCCACCAGUAGGUAGGAACAACUGCAGCAGUGCUGUGAAUGACCCCUGCUAAUUGAACAGUAAUAUUGUCUAAUUGUGGCCCAGGAGAGACUGUGGCUGCUGCCGACUUGUCCACACCAAAUCUCCCAGCAUCAGUACAGCAAUGCAAGUUUUGCUGGUGGGCGGCUUGUAAGGAUAACUGUGGACAGGUCCUCUCUGUUUCAGCUUUCUUCAUGGACUUGAUUAUAACAAUAAUGGUAUUUCUCAAAGUUACUGUAGAGACAAAUGAACAAAUGCUUAUAAAGUGUUUUGAAGCAAAAGAACGUGAAAUGUUCUAUUUCAUUAUAAAGGGGUAGAUGCAGCAAAGACAGCAGCUAUGCUGCCUUUUCUUUAACUUAAGUAAAACAUACUUUUAUAACGUUUUACUGAUGCUGGGUUUUGACUGUGAGAGAGGGCAGUCAAUCAGUGUACCUAAACAAUGACACCAAGAGAUGCACUUCUUCUUCAUGAACUUUGGAAAAACUGAUCCAUCUCAUGUAAUAACAAAAAGAAAAAAUAAGGAGGAGAGAGAGAGAGAGAGAAAAGAAAGAAAAGAAAAGAAAAGAAAAGAAAAGAAAAGAAAAGAAAAGAAAAGAAAAGAAAAGAAAAGAAAAGAAAAGAAAAGAAAAGAAAAGAAAAGAAAAGAAAAGAAAAGAAAAGAAAAGAAAAGAAAAGAAAAGAAAAGAAAAGAAAAGAAAAGAAAAGAAAAGAA
rnacentral:lncRNA from 1 species